rnacentral:rRNA from 1 species
AACGAACGCUGGCGGCAUGCCUAAUACAUGCAAGUCGAACGAGAAAGCUCUUCGGAGUGAGUAGAGUGGCGCACGGGUGAGUAACACGUAGGUUAUCUGCCUCUUGGUGGGGAACAACAUCGAGAAAUCGGUGCUAAUACCGCAUAAGCUGGUAACAGGAAAGAGGGCGUUUGCUCUCGCUAGAAGAGGAGCCUGCGGGAUAUUAGCUUGAUGGUGGGGUAAUGGCCUACCAUGGCGAUGAUAUCUAGCUGGUCUGAGAGGAUGAUCAGCCACACUGGAACUGAGACACGGUCCAGACUCCUACGGGAGGCAGCAGUAGGGAAUAUUGCGCAAUGGGGGAAACCCUGACGCAGCAAUGCCACGUGAGUGAGGAAGGGUUUCGGCUCGUAAAGCUCUGUCCUAAGGGAAGAACGGCAUACCGGUUAAUACCCGGAAUGUUUGACGGUACCUUAGAAGAAAGCACCGGCUAACUCCGUGCCAGCAGCCGCGGUAAUACGGAGGGUGCAAGCGUUGUUCGGAUUUAUUGGGCGUAAAGCGCGCGCAGGCGGAUUUGUAAGUCAGAUGUGAAAUCUCGGGGCCUAACCCCGAAACUGCGUCUGAAACUGCAAAUCUAGAAUCUUAUAGGGGGUGGGGGAAUUUCACGUGUAGGGGUAAAAUCCGUAGAGAUGUGAAGGAACACCAGAGGCGAAGGCGCCCACCUGGAUAAGUAUUGACGCUGAGGCGCGAAAGCGUGGGUAGCAAACAGGAUUAGAUACCCUGGUAGUCCACGCCGUAAACGAUGAGCACUAGCUUUUGGAGGUAUUGACCCCUUCAGUGGCGCAGCUAACGCAUUAAGUGCUCCGCCUGGGGAGUACGGUCGCAAGACUAAAACUCAAAGGAAUUGACGGGGGCCCGCACAAGCGGUGGAUUAUGUGGUUUAAUUCGAAGCAACGCGCAGAACCUUACCUAGGCUUGAAAUCCUGCGAAUUCGAGGUAAUGCUCGAAGUGCCCGCAGGGGAAUUCAGUGAGAGGUGCUGCAUGGCUGUCGUCAGCUCGUGUUGUGAAAUGUUGGGUUAAGUCUCGCAACGAGCGCAACCCCUAUCAUUAGUUGCCAGCAUUAAGUUGGGCACUCUAAUGAGACUGCCUGGGUUAACCAGGAGGAAGGUGGGGAUGACGUCAAGUCCUCAUGGCCCUUAUGUCCAGGGCUACACACGUAAUACAAUGGUGCAAACAAUGGGAAGCGAACCUGCGAAGGGGAGCCAAUCUCAAAAAUUGCAUCUCAGUCCGGAUUGAAGUCUGCAACUCGACUUCAUGAAGUUGGAAUCGCUAGUAAUCGUGGAUCAGCAUGCCACGGUGAAUACGUUCCCGGGCCUUGUACACACCGCCCGUCACACCAUGGGAGUUGGCUCAACCUGAAGCCGUGGCCCUAACCUUCGGGAGGGAGCGUCUACGGUGGGACUGAUGACUGGGGUG